rnacentral:rRNA from 1 species
CACGUAGGGUGCGAGCGUUGUCCGGAAUUAUUGGGCGUAAAGAGCUCGUAGGCGGUUUGUCGCGUCUGCUGUGAAAAUCCGGGGCUCAACCCCGGACUUGCAGUGGGUACGGGCAGACUAGAGUGUGGUAGGGGGAGACUGGAAUUCCUGGUGUAGCGGUGGAAUGCGCAGAUAUCAGGAGGAACACCAACGGCGAAGGCAGCUCGCUAGGACGGUACUGACGCUGAGACGCGAAAGCGUGGGGGAGCGAACAGG